AUGCUGCCUAUCACCACUGAGACCCCAGCUCAGCAGAAGACCCCUACAGCCUACAGCCUCCAACCACACUUCACCCCACCCCUUCAGCCAGCACCAGAUUUGUUGGGUCCCCCAUGGGCCUCAGAAAAACAUCAGUGCAGCACCAGGUUAGCUGGAGAACUGGCACAGAUGUUCUUGCCCAGGGUCCUAAGUCAGCAGUGGGCUAGUUACGUGCAUGGCUGUAUAGCAGAGUGCUCCUGGCACACCCGAGCGAUGUAUUUUGGAAAUGGUACAGAGCUGUCAGUAGAGCCUGAACUCCAAGAACCUUCUAUGCCCUCAGUCUUUGUCAUGAAAAAUGGGACCAAUGUUGCAUGUUUGGUGAAGGACUUCUACCCCAAGACUGUGGAUAUACAUCUCGAUCCAGAAGACAAUACAAAAGAAGGAGCGGUCACCAUUGCCAAUGGGAAGUUCAGCGCUAUCAAGCUUGGCCAAUAUAAGAAAGAUUUGGAACAAAUUAACUGUAUAGUUCGGCAUAACAAUAAGACCAUGGUGGCUUCUUACAAAAGGCCCUUUGAGAAGAGUUCAGACCUAAAGAAAGACAGUGACCAGGAAUUAUCUUCUCCAAAGUGCCACAAACCCACAGUGCAAAUUGAGAAAUUGAACUUGCUGUCCAUCACCCUGCUGGGGCUCCGUGUGCUGCUCGCCAAGAGCAUUGCUGUCAAUUUAUUCUUGACUAUCAAGUAUUUUUUACUGUCAGGCUCAUCUACCCCAAAGUGAUCAGAGAACUCAAGGACUCACUGAGAUGUUUUCCCUUGGCUUCCUCUUGCUGUGAUGUAAAUGGCUUUCUGGGUGUCUAUUUUGACCAGAAGGUUUUUUUCUUAACUGCUUUUGCUUUGGAAAAAUUAGACCCAAUUCUUUUCAAAGCCAGGUGGAAAGACAGCCCUGGAGGAGAUGGCUGAUCAUUCCAGUUCUUUGUACAGUUUCUGUAACUUUGAAAAGGAAAAUGAAAUCGUCUCAUCACUUUGACUGUCAGAC